AACGAACGCUGGCGGCAUGCCUAACACAUGCAAGUCGAACGAGACCUUCGGGUCUAGUGGCGCACGGGUGCGUAACGCGUGGGAACCUGCCCUUAGGUUCGGAAUAACUCCCCGAAAGGGGUGCUAAUACCGGAUAAUGUCUUCGGACCAAAGAUUUAUCGCCUUUGGAUGGGCCCGCGUUGGAUUAGCUAGUUGGUAGGGUAAAAGCCUACCAAGGCGACGAUCCAUAGCUGGUCUGAGGGGAUGAUCAGCCACACUGGGACUGAGACACGGCCCAGACUCCUACGGGAGGCAGCAGUGGGGAAUAUUGGACAAUGGGCGAAAGCCUGAUCCAGCAAUGCCGCGUGAGUGAUGAAGGCCUUAGGGUUGUAAAGCUCUUUUACCCGGGAUGAUAAUGACAGUACUGGGAGAAUAAGCUCCGGCUAACUCCGUG
rnacentral:rRNA from 1 species